rnacentral:rRNA from 1 species
UACGUAGGGGGCAAGCGUUGUCCGGAUUUAUUGGGCGUAAAGAGCGUGUAGGUGGUUUGGUAGGUCCGUUGUGAAAACUCGAGGCUCAACCUCGAGACGCCGGCGGAAACCAUCAGGCUAGAGUCCGGAAGAGGAGAGUGGAAUUCCUGGUGUAGCGGUGAAAUGCGCAGAUAUCGGGAGGAACACCGGUGGCGAAGGCGGUUCUCUGGGCCUGUACUGACGCUGAGGAGCGAAAGCGUGGGGAGCGAACAGG